UGUUAAUGGGUGUAAAAUUAUCUGGCGAGGCUAAUAAAGACAUGUUGGAAUGGUUCGGAAAGCAUUUCAAGUUGUGUUGUCAUACGGGCAUCUUGAACUGCAAGUGGUGGAGAUUUUCUAUCUCAAGAUAUAUGAAGUACUGACAUGUUGCAUCGAUGUGGCUCUACAUGUGCUAAAACAAUUCUCAUUUUCUGAGAGCAAAUCUGAAAUCAAUGAUUGUUAGAUUUUACUUGAAGCAUUUGUCUCAUAAGAAUGAGUUGGAUUGUGCUCAUGGCGUAUGACCAGAUGAAGAGUGAAGUUAGUUUAUGGAUGGUAUAAAUAUUGCAAACUUGAACUUUCCGAACUAUGGAUAAGAUAGGGUGUA